CGGCAUUUCCCUGGAUGCUCAAUGUCUGUGUCGAGUGAGGUUGACCUGAAGUGAGGUGGAUGGAGAUGUCCUUUCCAUCUCUGCCCCUUUCCCGCCCUUAUCCUUACUGUCUAUGAUCCCAGGGAGCUCAGAGCCUUCUGUCUGCAGAGCGAGGCCUCUACAAGAAGGCAAACUUUCUCUUGCUAAUAUGGACCAAUUCUUACAGCAACACUUCAAAAUCGAUCGAUGUUACAAACUCUUGUCUGUGUCCUCUACAUAAAACCUUUCCCCGCAAGGGAGAGAGUAGGGCAGAGAGGUGAAGAGGAAUGGAAACUCCGCCACACCACCCCCCUGUACUAGAAACAGCAGCUGUGUCUCAGAAACAGGGCACUCAGGCUCUCUGGCUCCCAGAUUAGAGAACAAGGCACAGAACGGCCCCUCCCCCAGAAUCACGGGACCACAGACUUGGCAGAUGCAUCCAAGGGCACCCUGACUCCUCUGCCACGUGGAUUGUUGAUCCCAGCAAUGACCAGCCCAGUUAACAAGGAUGUCAGGCUGUUUGGGGCCAGAUCAUUCCUGAGCCAUGAAACAGUUAAGAAAUAUCCUGCCCCACUGGCUGCCGUGCUCAUAAAGGUGCCCUGAUCCUGGCUUUCAGCCUACUGUUCUGGGUCAUCUGGUAUUCCCUCAACAUCGAGGUGUCUCCUGAGAAACUGGACCUGUAGUUUGGUCAUGGGAAGAGGAGGUGAGACGCAGGUGCCGUAUGCAGACAUGUCUGUGGACCUGGGGCUCUUGGGCAGCAACAUGUUGCCGCUUCCACCUAGCAAGCCCCGCCGGGACGAGGUCCCAUCUGAUGGAGGAGAAUCAAUUCAAGGAGAUGCCCUCCCUUUACAGCACACCCUUUAACAGCAUCCAGGAGGAACGAGAGGCUGCAAUGCUGAGGCUUUCAAAGUAUUUACCAGGAUGCCCGAGAACGGCCGUGAUGCCAGGCUUCUGGCAGGUUCCAGGCUCCAUCACAAGCCCAGCAUCUCUGCACCAGAUCUGACAUGGCUGCUGCUGUCCCAGCUCUUUAUGAAGGGCCUUAGUAGCUAUCAAGUUUUUAUGGCAGGAGCCCUGCCGGGGGCUUAGACACCAAAAGAGAAGUCUCAUCCUUUGCAGUUCUUCUUGUGAAGAAGAACUUUCUUCCCUUUAGAAAAACAAUGAGAACCAAGCACAAGCACCAAAGUCCAAAUGGGAUCUCCUGAGAGCGCAUGUCAAGCAGGAUUGUUGCUGUUUCUCCUCAUUGGCUCUUUGGACAGACUGUGUGAGCUCCUGGAGGGUUCCACCGUAUCUCCCCUUUGAUACUGACCAGUUGGCACAUGCCGACAUAUUCCAACGUGUUGAUUGCAAACGUGAACGUGCAGUCAGUGCUGUGGGCGGGAGGAUUCUCUCCUCCUCAGUGGGGCCACACUUUGCACUAUUAGUGCAGCUCCACUUGUUUGCACAGCCUGGCCAUGCAAUGGCUCAUAUUGAGCUUUUAGCCAACUGAAACCCCCUGCGUGUUUUUCUGACAAGCCAGCCAGGCCUCUGCUAUGCUGUCCUUGUGUCUUUCAUUUGAGACCUGAAGGGCAGGACUGUUCUUAUCUUAAGUUACAGCUGGUCGAGUCCAGCCCAAGGAGAGCAACUCUGAGAGUCAGGCCUCAUAGGCUAACCACAUAGAUGUGCUCUGCUUCGUGACCCACCAGAGCCCGACCUGCCCCACUAAUUUAUAUUUCCCCUGGUCUAAUUUUGUACUUUUUAUUUAUAUUUCGCCCUUAAAGUGUAUGUGUCUCUUAUAAGCUGCCUCCGAUCUUUCAUGGUACGAGGUGGUUACCUAAAUAAAGAAGGAGAUUUGGCCUUUGUUUUCAUGUA